rnacentral:rRNA from 1 species
AUGGACCAUUCCAUCCCUUUUUCCCGUGCAUAUGCAUCGGACUCGGAUGACGAUGGUCCCGAUGAACAAGUUGAUGCGGAGGGGUUCACGGUGAAGGAGGCCGAAGCUUUCGAGAAGGUAUUUGGUCGGGAUCAUCGGACUACAUUGUUCAAGGAUGUUAGUCUCGCGGAUGAAGCCGUGGUAGAUGGUGGCCAAUGUGUAGCUCUUGGGGUUAGGCCAAGCUCUCACCGUGAUUUAGUAGACGACAAGAACCGGAUUGCUAAAGGUUCUAAGUUCGACAGCUUGUUGGAUUUGAAGAUGUGGCUCGACAACUACUCGGUUACGCAUUAUUGUCCACACAAGGUGGUGCACUCGGACGUCAAUGUGCGCUACACGGUUGCAUGUGCAUGUGAAGAUGAAAAGGAGGUCCAACUUGGACUUACAAGAGGCCGUGGUGGUGGUAGAGGUCGUGGAAAGGAGGUCCAACAAGGAGUGGCAAGACGCCGUGGCGGUUGUCCGUGGAUUGUGCGUGCAAGACCAUGGAAAGGAGGUCCUACUUGGCAUGUAGUGAGUUGUGUGCCAACUCACAUGUGCCAAGGCAAAAGGGUGGAUGGCAAGAUUGUGUCCCAAGACCACAAACAACUCACGUCCGAGUUGAUCGCUUACAGGCUCUCGAACUCAAUAUCCACACUUCCAACAAUGAGCGUCCAACAUGUCAUUGACCUUGUGAAAGCCAUCUUUCAUUACCAGGUGAAAUAA